CCCGCGGGGUGGGCUGACUGGCGCUGACUGGCCAGAGCCACUCGCACCAGGAAGACGCCGGCCAAUCGGCUGCGGGAUGAGUCUGGCGUGACGACCACUCCGUGGGAGCUGACUGGAGCGGAAGUAGUAGGCGGGCGAACGGAACGGGAUUGGUGCUUCUCGCGAGGCAGCCCUUCGUUUUCUUCUGCUCGCUCCGAGCGCGGGGGACCGAGCCCCAACGCCCCAAGCCCGCGGGCCGGCGCCCGCCACCUGUAAGGGCCAACGGGCCUGCCUAUAAGCCCUCUACGCGGGUAGUCGUCGUAUUUGUCCUGCCGGCUACGCUGGCUCCUCGGCGACGCGCUCGGCUCGCGGCCGCGCCCCGCCUGUGCGGGGUCCGCGCGCGGCUGCGGAGCGGCUUACCCAUCACAGCUCAGGCGGAAUCCCCUGCUUCAGGAAUCAUUUUCUGAGGCUCCCUGGCCUCUCCUUUUUCUGUUCUUUACAUUCAACAAAUAUCUACUGAACACUGACUACGUGGCAGACCCUGGAAACAACAAAGAUGAGCAAGACGUGGUUCCACCCCAAAGAGCUUCCAGAGACACCAGACCAGAGGAAGAAACAGACGCAGGGACCACGGGCAGGCUGCUCCAGGGUGUGCCAUCGUGGCAUGCAGAUAAUUGAGCUGAAAACCACCAAGGCCCCAGACUUUCUUCAAGUUUCCAAUGUAAUGUCCAUCUUUCCACCUGCUACGUGACUGACCACCGUGCCAUGAGGACAGCUCCUGAAUCGGUGCCCCAGCCCAGCCUGCAUCUGUGGGGGGCCUACUUCUUAAUUUUGUGGUCCCCACAGUCAAGAUCAACACGUCUCAUCUGGCCUUCGCCCACAAACCCUACUUAUCUCUCCCUAUUGAUCCUCCCCCACCCAGCAGCAACCAGUGGGUGGCCACCUCCAUCUCUCAGGUGCACCUGGGCCAUCUCCAGCCCCUUGGCCUCAGCCCUCAUCCCCACAUCGCACCAGCUGACACCUACAGAGCCCGUCCUGGGCUGACCCUGGCCUCCUCCUCCUUCCCACUUCCACUGCUGUUUCUAAGCCAACGCUUCUCUUAAAAAAUGUAGCAUUUUUCUCUCCUUUCCUACGAGUCACAGUGGGUGCAGUGGCACCAGCCCGCCAUGUCUGUACAGCCUCCCUAUCCUGUCCCCUCCUGUCCCCUGGACCCCACUUUUCUGAUAAAAUGUUGACUUAUAGACACUGUCUUUGCCCCAGCUUAUGCCUAGCAUUUCAUGCUUAUCUGAUCUCAUAUGAGUUAGAAAGGUAAAUAUAAAUUAAGGGAAAACAUUUAUACAUACACACACACACACACAUAUACAUAUACAUAUUUUCACAUAAAUAUGUAUAGGCAUAUGUGCAAGAGUGCAUAGGUAUAUUCUUCUAGAUACAAAUAGCAAUCUAUUACUCAAAAUACUUUCACAGCAUCUGGUCUAGAAGUGGGGUUUUAAAACUAAGUUUUAAAAAAAAAUAGGCAUGUAGUAACUACAUUGUUUUUUCAUGUGAAACCUUCAUAAGUGUAUAUCAAUAGUACCUUAAGAAAAACUUAAAUAAAUAAAAAAAAAUAG